rnacentral:rRNA from 1 species
UACGUAGGUGACAAGCGUUGUCCGGAUUUACUGGGCGUAAAGAGCGCGCAGGCGGUCGGUCAAGUCGAGUGUGAAAGCCCCCGGCUCAACUGGGGAGGGUCACUCGAUACUGAUCGACUCGAAGGCAGGAGAGGGAAGUGGAAUUCCCGGUGUAGUGGUGAAAUGCGUAGAUAUCGGGAGGAACACCAGUGGCGAAGGCGACUUCCUGGCCUGUUCUUGACGCUGAGGAGCGAAAGCUAGGGGAGCAAACGGG